rnacentral:rRNA from 1 species
GACGAACGCUGGCGGCGUGCCUAAUACAUGCCAGUAGAACGCUGAAGGAGGAGCUUGCUUCUCUGGAUGAGUUGCGAACGGGUGAGUAACGCGUAGGUAACCUGCCUGGUAGCGGGGGAUAACUAUUGGAAACGAUAGCUAAUACCGCAUAAUAGUAGAUGUUGCAUGACAUUUGCUUAAAAGGUGCAAUUGCAUCACUACCAGAUGGACCUGCGUUGUAUUAGCUAGUUGGUGGGGUAACGGCUCACCAAGGCGACGAUACAUAGCCGACCUGAGAGGGUGAUCGGCCACACUGGGACUGAGACACAGCCCAGACUCCUACGGGAGGCAGCAGUAGGGAAUCUUCGGCAAUGGACGGAAGUCUGACCGAGCAACGCCGCGUGAGUGAAGAAGGUUUUCGGAUCGUAAAGCUCUGUUGUAAGAGAAGAACGAGUGUGAGAGUGGAAAGUUCACACUGUGACGGUAUCUUACCAGAAAGGGACGGCUAACUACGUG